ACUCAAAUCGGUAUUGCUUUGAUGCACCGAAGCAGGUUUCCACAUCAAGAAUAUCCACACCUCCACAAGGGUGCAUACCCUUACGAAACAUCUUCUCAACCAACUGUUCAUCCAACUCUACACCUGCAAACUCCUUUUCAGGUACUAAGUUUCUCCUAUCCUCCAAAGCUUUGCUGGGUUUUGCAUCAGCAUUCCUGUCACAACUAUCCUCAACUUCUACAGCACAAUGGCUGGAUGCAGGUUUCUGAGCAAUUUGAAAAUGUCUAUCGAAAGAACUUGACUCCCCACUACAUUCCUUCAACUUUGAUUGCUCAACGCCAUUAAUGUCAAUCUCAA
rnacentral:lncRNA from 1 species